rnacentral:sRNA from 1 species
GCCAGGCGCAGUGCUGUGCGCCUGUAAUCCCAGUGGCUCUGGAGGCCGAGGCAGGAGGAUCACAAGUUGAGCAGUUUUCCUGGGUGCUUGGUGGAGAGUAGCAGAGUGUCCUGCCCUU